rnacentral:lncRNA from 1 species
UUUAUUUCAAAAGUUUGAUAUUCGAAUUUUUAUUAUUUAUUAUUUAUAAAUUUAUGUAAAUUAAAAUAAAAUAUACAAUAUAAAUGUAAUUUAACCUAUUUAAAUAAAAUUAUUUUAUUUCCAUGUGUAAUGCAUAUGAAAUGGCUCAAACUUUCAAAGAGUAUGUUAGGAAUAAAGCAAAAUAGAAUAAAUGAAUUUAUAAGCAACCCAAUUGGUUUAGGAUUCAAGCUUACCUGAGUUGAAUUGAGUUUAUUUCUGUAUGCAAUGCAUGUUGG